AUUGAACGCUGGCGGCAGGCCUAACACAUGCGAGUCGAACGGUAACAGGAAACAGCUUGCUGUUUCGCUGACGAGUGGCGGACGGGUGAGUAAUGUCUGGGAAACUGCCUGAUGGAGGGGGAUAACUACUGGAAACGGUAGCUAAUACCGCAUAACGUCGCAAGACCAAAGAGGGGGACCUUCGGGCCUCUUGCCAUCGGAUGUGCCCAGAUGGGAUUAGCUAGUAGGUGGGGUAACGGCUCACCUAGGCGACGAUCCCUAGCUGGUCUGAGAGGAUGACCAGCCACACUGGAACUGAGACACGGUCCAGACUCCUACGGGAGGCAGCAGUGGGGAAUAUUGCACAAUGGGCGCAAGCCUGAUGCAGCCAUGCCGCGUGUAUGAAGAAGGCCUUCGGGUUGUAAAGUACUUUCAGCGGGGAUGAAGGGAGUAAAGUUAAUACCUUUGCUCAUUGACGUUACCCGCAGAAGAAGCACCGGCUAACUCCGUG
rnacentral:rRNA from 1 species